GACGAACGCUGGCGGCGUGCCUAAUACAUGCAAGUUGAGCGAUGAAGGUUGGUACUUGUACCAACUGGAUGAGCAGCGAACGGGUGAGUAACGCGUGGGGAAUCUGCCUUUGAGCGGGGGACAACAUUUGGAAACGAAUGCUAAUACCGCAUAAGAACUUUAAACACAAGUUUUAAGUUUGAAAGAUGCAAUUGCAUCACUCAAAGAUGAUCCCGCGUUGUAUUAGCUAGUUGGUGAGGUAAAGGCUCACCAAGGCGAUGAUACAUAGCCGACCUGAGAGGGUGAUCGGCCACAUUGGGACUGGGACACGGCCCAGACUCCUACGGGAGGCAGCAGUAGGGAAUCUUCGGCAAUGGACGAAAGUCUGACCCGUCAACGCCGCGUGAGUGAAGAAAGUUUUCGGAUCGUAAAACUCUGUUGGUAGAGAAGAACGUUGGUGAGAGUGGAAAGCUCAUCAAGUGACGGUAACUACCCAGAAAGGGACGGCUAACUACGUGCCAGCAGCCGCAGUAA
rnacentral:rRNA from 1 species